AGUUUAAGUUGAUGAAACUCGAAAACAUCGCAGUUCGUGGACUGAUCGAAAUCAGUAUGUAAAUUAUACAUCAAAAAAUAUAUUCCCUUUAGCUGAUAUGGAUUAUGGAGCAAAUCGCCUGAUUCUAAAUCGUUUAUACACGCACCUUCAGAAAAAAUUAUACGAAAAUCUUUUUUGAAAAAUCGCAAAAAUAAAAAAGAAACUUAAAAAAAGCAACAAAAAAAAAUCACCAAAAAAACAUGUUUUUUUUGUCUCGUACACUUCUUAGGAGUGAUGUCCCCCUAGCUCUGUAUUUUGCGCUUCGCCGUAAUUUACAGGGCAAAGCAUUCCAAGUAAAAUUGUCAUGUAAUUAUUAUAGAGGGUGUGAAGAAGGCGAUUUAAUUCAAUCUCCUUUUCCCAGCGAAAAGUUUUAAUUAAGAGUAACUGCUUUGAAUGUUUGCUGUAACACCUGAUGAUACAGACGUCGAACUGCCUAAAAUUUGACAGUGAAUAAUUAAUAUGGUCACACCAAUAUAUGGUGUCAUUAUGUCGUGUUUAAAACGAUUGAAAACGCAUUAGUGGUGUGGUAAUCUGUAUCUUCCAAGUUACGUGGAAGAAAUUUGCUUGAUAGUAUAACUAAUUUAAACACAUAACCAUUUGAUUCGUAAGGGAUGGAGUGACAGAUUUAAUAAUUUCUCUUCCUAAAUAUGCUGGC